rnacentral:rRNA from 1 species
GCUGGCGGCAUGCUUUACCAUGCAAGUCCGGACGGCAGCACAGAGAAGCUUGCUUUUGGGUGGCGAGUGGCGAACCGGUGAGUAACAUAUCGGAACGUACCGAGUAAUGGGGGAUAACUAAUCGAAAGAUUAGCUAAUACCCGCAUAUUCUCUGAGGAGGAAAGCAGGGGACCUUCGGGCCUUGCGUUAUUCGAGCGGCCGAUAUCUGAUUAGCUAGUUGGUGGGGUAAAGGCCUACCAAGGCGACGAUCAGUAGCGGGUCUGAGAGGAUGAUCCGCCACACUGGGACUGAGACACGGCCCAGACUCCUACGGGAGGCAGCAGUGGGGAAUUUUGGACAAUGGGCGCAAGCCUGAUCCAGCCAUGCCGCGUGUCUGAAGAAGGCCUUCGGGUUGUAAAGGACUUUUGUCAGGGAAGAAAAAGGGCUGUUGCUAAUUAUCGACAGCUU